ACUUCUCUCUCCCUUAUUUCCUCACACAUACAUACAUAUACAUUCUCUCUCUCUGCGUGACUUCUCCCUCCCUCUCAGCUCUGUCGUCUCUCUUUCUCUCUCCCUGUCUCCGGCGGCCGUCGCCGGCCUUCGUCGCCUCCGGCGCGGCGAGGUCGGCCUCUCCUCUCCCCCUUUCCUUUCUUUCCAUUUCUCUUUUCCCUAUGUCUCAAUCCCCAAAUUAUAAAAUCAAAAUCCUAGGGUUUCUACCUCUCUUCAUCCCCUCUGGAAUUCGUCUCUCCGGCGAAGCCUGCCGCCCCGCCGUCGUCUCUGUCACGCCACCGCCGCCUCUUCUGAUUCAGGAAUCCAUGAUUCAGGGUGUCUCUCGGAGUGGCUACUGCUCAAGAUCCGAUUUUUAUAUGUGAUAAAUCUAUUUCUUUAUUGUUAUUAAGAAAUUGGAACUGUGUUUAUGAAGUCAGAAUUGCAUAUGUGAUUAUAGUUAUUACUCAUCACAGUUCUUGGUUGCUGCCUUUAUGAUAUAAAGUUAACUGUAUUGAAAAGAAAGACUACCUUCUUUGA